ACGUUAACUUUAGAUACAAACAUAAAUGUUACCAGUGACAUUUUGAAAAUAUAGAACAUUUCAGGGGGUAUUUUUCCACAAAACAUUUUCCA